UGGCAUCACGAGGGUUACACUGUCUCCUUUUUUUAAUCAGUGAAACUAAUCUCCCCGUGAAGAAACGGGGAUAAAACUAUAAGACGAGAAGACCCUAUGGAGCUUUAAACCUCCCUUCAAGUGCCAGCUCCCCUUUUUCUUCAUUUACUACACUAACUUUAACACUAUGAAGUCAAGUUUUAGGUUGGGGUGACCGCGGGGCACAAAAAAACCCCCACGUUGAACCAGGCCUCAAGCCUUGAGCAAUGGACUACAAUCCUAUGCACCAAAAAAUUUACAUCAAUUGACCCAUUAAUUUGAUCAACGAACCAAGUUACCCUAGGGAUAACAGCGCAAUCUACUUCAAGAGCCCCUAUCGACAAGUGG
rnacentral:rRNA from 1 species